GACGAACGCUGGCGGCGUGCUUAACACAUGCCAGUCGAACGAAGAGCGAUGGAAGCUUGCUUCUAUCAAUCUUAGUGGCGAGCGGGUGAGUAACGCGUAAUCAACCUGCCCUUCAGAGGGGGACAACAGUUGGAAACGACUGCUAAUACCGCAUACGAUCUAAACUCGGCAUCGAGGAUAGAUGAAAGGUGGCCUCUACAUGUAAGCUAUCACUGAAGGAGGGGAUUGCGUCUGAUUAGCUAGUUGGAGGGGUAACGGCCCACCAAGGCGAUGAUCAGUAGCCGGUCUGAGAGGAUGAACGGCCACAUUGGGACUGAGACACGGCCCAGACUCCUACGGGAGGCAGCAGUGGGGAAUCUUCCGCAAUGGACGAAAGUCUGACGGAGCAACGCCGCGUGAGUGAUGACGGCCUUCGGGUUGUAAAGCUCUGUUAAUCGGGACGAAAGGCCUUCUUGCGAAUAGUGAGAAGGAUUGACGGUACCGGAAUAGAAAGCCACGGCUAACUACGUG
rnacentral:rRNA from 1 species